rnacentral:rRNA from 1 species
GGAUUAGUCCGNCNAUAGNGCUCUGCCUCUACCGGGGGUCUGGAACCUACCACCACGGUGUCNGCCAGNUGCAGCUCAGAGACUAGGACCAUAUGAAGAGCUUGGACAGUCUGCCNACAUCUCAGUCCUACUGUCCACCCACCUAUAGNACCACAGGCUACAGUAUGGACCCUGUCACAGGCUACCAAUAUGGGCAGUAUGGACAAAGUAAGCCUUGNACUUUUUAGGGGGCAAUUUCUCCUGGAAGGGAGAUAAACUCAACUCUUCCUUAAGAAAGGUGAAUUAGAGGCAANAUUAAA